AGAGUUUGAUCCUGGCUCAGAUUGAACGCUGGCGGCAUGCUUUACACAUGCAAGUCGGACGGCAGCACAGAGAAGCUUGCUUCUUGGGUGGCGAGUGGCGAACGGGUGAGUAACAUAUCGGAACGUACCGAGCAGUGGGGGAUAACUAAUCGAAAGAUUAGCUAAUACCGCAUAUAUUCUGAGGAAGAAAGCAGGGGACCAUUUGGCCUUGCGCUGUUUGAGCGGCCGAUAUCUGAUUAGCUAGUUGGUGGGGUAACGGCCCACCAAGGCAACGAUCAGUAGGGGUUCUGAGAGGAAGGUCCCCCACAUUGGAACUGAGACACGGUCCAAACUCCUACGGGAGGCAGCA
rnacentral:rRNA from 1 species